GAGAUUAGAGCUCGUCUCAUUAGCCAAGGAGACUGCCUAAAUGCCACCAGUGGAUCCCCGCACAUCCAACUAUGACCUCGAAUAUCUAUGGAGCCAUACGAGACCCUAUUAGAGGCUAUAGGCAAGUCAUCCUUGGCUACGAAACCCAGCUCUCGAUCC
rfam:Punica granatum cultivar Dabenzi scaffold665, whole genome shotgun sequence.